GACGAACGCUGGCGGCGUGCUUAACACAUGCAAGUCGAGCGGUAAGGCCCUUUCGGGGGUACACGAGCGGCGAACGGGUGAGUAACACGUGGGUGACCUGCCCUCAGCUCUGGGAUAAGCCUGGGAAACCGGGUCUAAUACUGGAUAUGACUCCAUGACGCAUGUUGUGGGGUGGAAAGCCUUGUGCGGCUGAGGAUGGGCCCGCGGCCUAUCAGCUUGUUGGUGGGGUGANGGCCUACCAAGGCGACGACGGGUAGCCGGCCUGAGAGGGCGACCGGCCACACUGGGACUGAGACACGGCCCAGACUCCUACGGGAGGCAGCAGUGGGGAAUCUUGCGCAAUGGGCGAAAGCCUGACACAGCGACGCCGCGUGAGGGAUGACGGCCU
rnacentral:rRNA from 1 species